rnacentral:rRNA from 1 species
GACGAACGCUGGCGGCGUGCUUAACACAUGCAAGUCGAACGGAAAGGCCCUGCUUUUGUGGGGUGCUCGAGUGGCGAACGGGUGAGUAACACGUGAGUAACCUGCCCUUGACUUUGGGAUAACUUCAGGAAACUGGGGCUAAUACCGGAUAGGAGCUCCUGCUGCAUGGUGGGGGUUGGAAAGUUUCGGCGGUUGGGGGUGGACUCGCGGCUUAUCAGCUUGUUGGUGGGGUAGUGGCUUACCAAGGCUUUGACGGGUAGCCGGCCUGAGAGGGUGACCGGCCACAUUGGGACUGAGAUACGGCCCAGACUCCUACGGGAGGCAGCAGUGGGGAAUAUUGCACAAUGGGCGGAAGCCUGAUGCAGCAACGCCGCGUGCGGGAUGACGGCCUUCGGGUUGUAAACCGCUUUCGCCUGUGACGAAGCGUGAGUGACGGUAAUGGGUAAAGGAGCACCGGCUAACUACGUG